rnacentral:rRNA from 1 species
UACGUAGGGUGCGAGCGUUAAUCGGAAUUACUGGGCGUAAAGCGUGCGCAGGCGGUUAUGUAAGACAGGUGUGAAAUCCCCGGGCUUAACCUGGGAACUGCAUUUGUGACUGGAUUGCUAGAGUUUGGGAGAGGGAUGCGGAAUUCCAGGUGUAGCGGUGAAAUGCGUAGAUAUCUGGAGGAACACCGGUGGCGAAGGCGGCAUCCUGGACCAACACUGACGCUGAGGAGCGAAAGCCAGGGGAGCAAACGGG